CCAGUUCAUAAUUCUUCUAGGCUGUAAUCCGUUCGGUUGACUUGCAGGUGAGAGGGAUAGUUAAGUCCGCCGGUAUGGGUAUGCCUCCAGUGAUCAAGUUGGAUAAGUCCGGAUACAGGCAAAGGAUGGGGAUGAAUAAAUAAACGAUUUUUCUGCCACAUUCUUGCGUUGUUUUCCAGCAAAAACUGCUGACGCCGAAUCUCUUGACAAGUGCGCUUUUCUGCUACUCUAUAUUAUCCGUUCAGCAGUAGCUCUUUUCUCUUCAGUCAGCAUUUCUGCAGCGGCUCUCCCUGUUUUAUUGUUGCACUCGUACUCCCAAUUUCUAACUGUUUCUCCGUAAUAUUUCUGCUGCUGGUUUUGCGAGUAGGACAAAGUUCUAAUGCUUUAGAAAGAAGCCCAACCGAGUCUAGACCCUGCUCUAUUUAUCCUUCCACAUGCCAAUUCUCCAGGCCAAGUGCCGCCUGAGAUCAGUCCAUACUCUUCGUGGAGGUAGAGAAUACGAAAAUUAUAGGAGGUUCAAUUCUUCCUGAUGGUGCAAAAUCAAAGGUUUGAAGACGAGGUGGCUACAAUGACUUGUCUACUUCAAUGAAGUAUCUUUAAAUAGAAUGCUCUGAAGCUUCACAUAUCUAAACGUCAUACGCUAUCCCUCAUAGCUCCCCGUAGGCAGCUCGGUUGGGACUGGUCGUCUGUAGUUACAGUAAGGUCCCAAGUUCGACUCUCAGGUGCUACCGUUGCUGGGCAUCUUUUGGGGCGAAGCUCUGCCUAGCCUGGGGGGAUUAAUCUGGGUGAUAGCCAAUAGCUCUAGGACACUUUCUUAACUAAAGCAGCAUGAUAAUGUUGGAAGUAUUAUUUCAACGAACACAUUGUUCCAUUCGGAGAUUGUCAUUUUGGUCCAUUCUCUUUUAGCACUUAGUUAAGAAUGACGUAGAGCUUCAUAUAGAUGUGUUUAAGGUGAAUGUUGGCAGUUUUGCUGCAGAGAAUAAAUUGGGGCGGUGCAAAACCAGGCUCAUAAUAUAAAAAACACUAGACAUCGUCAUGAAGCAAUGUGCUGGGCUGAAAGUGAACAGGUUCACGAGUUAACUCUUGUUUCUCUGACAUGGUCUAAAUUUUAGUUUUCCAUGGAGUAAGAAGAAGUCAUUUUUCUCUCGUUCAUAAAAUUUGGACGUGCGAAUCUUAUGGUAAUUUUUCUUUACCAACUAGGUAACCAAAUUCCAGAAGCUAAUGCUUACAAACUAGUAUUAGUCUUCUACUCGUCAAAAGGGCCCAGUGUUAAUGUGAAUUUAGAGUUUUACCUUUGAGGAUCUCUCGUUCCGCCUUGUCUAAUUUUCCAUGUUAUAAAGCUGCCAAAUCAUUACGGGUUGAAGACGGCAAAUGCCACCUGUGCAGGAGCAAGUUCAGUAGUUGAAGAUAUUAUGUGCAGAGACUCCAGCAGAAAUCAACCUUCUUGCGGCCGGCUUAAUUUUCCAGAUCAAAGAAAUGAAAAAUCUAACUGUCCUCAAGAUCGCCAGACAUCCACAUCACCAAUGAUUUUGCGUGAUCAUGGUAAAUAUACAGUUUCUUAUAUCGUCAUACUCAUCUUGCAUACACACUUUUUGGCUGCACUAUCUUGCUAAAUCAACUAUAGAUACAAUACAAUACAAUUGUAUUACAAUUGUUCGAUUACAAUACAAUUGUAUUACAUUCUAUUGAUGCUAUUUAUAGACAACUUAGCAAUUUUAUAGAUUAGCAAUUUAUUUUAUUUUAUAGAUUACCAAUUACUACAUGUACCAAAAUAUUUUUUUAUAGGGAUUACUUCAUUAACUAUGGGUGCUAAUAACAAUUCAAUUGGUGCGUAUUUUUCAUUUGAUUACAA